CUGUCAUAUCACAGAGCAGGAGCAGGGAACAGUUCUAGGCCAGAAUCUCUAAAGAUCCAGGCUAUUACAGGACAUAUCAUACAAAACACUCACGUAUGAUGAUGGCAAUUUAUUCAGCAAAGACAUGUUUCUAAUGCUGUUACACAGAUUAUCACAGUCUGCAAUCGACUGAGGUAGAACAAUGUAGACACCCCCCGCUGCAAACAGUUUCACCAACCACAUCACAACAUCCACAGUUGGAAGUCUGGCCAUUAUAAUAGUUAUCUACUGGUCAUCCCAAAUCUUACUCAUCACUUUCACAAAUUCAAAACGGGUAGAUGACUGCACCAUUUGGAUAUACUGUACCUUUAACUACAGUAUUUAGGAAUAAAGGCUGUAGGAUGAUGCAGUUACCAAACUGGGUAGAUGACUGCACCAUUUGGAUAUACUGUGCCUUUAACUAUUUAGGGAUAAUGGCUGUAGGAUGAUGCAGUUACCAAACGGGUAGAUGACUGCACCAUUUGGAUAUACUGUACCUUUAACUAUUUAGGGAUAAUGGCUGUAGGAUGAUGCAGUUACCAAACUGGUAGAUGACUGCACCAUUUGGAUAUACUGUACCUUUAACUAUUUAGGGAUAAUGGCUGUAGGAUGAUGCAGUUACCAAACGGGUAGAUGACUGCACCAUUUGGAUAUACUGUGCCUUUAACUAUUUAGGGAUAAUGGCUGUAGGAUGAUGCAGUUACCAAACGGGUAGAUGACUGCACCAUUUGGA